rnacentral:snoRNA from 15 species
AACCACGAUGAUGAGUCGUGAUAUUCCUUCUGAGCGUGAAGCUGAUAGAGAAUAAUGAUUCAGUUCAUAUGUUCUCUGUCAUUGAUGACCGUUCAUUGUUUCCUAGAGGAGCAUUGAGGAAGGGAAUAUGAUCAGAGUGGU